UUUUUAAAUGUCAUUAAAUAUAAAAUUUCAAAUUAUAAAUAUUUAUUUUAAAUUACAUACAAAGAAAGAAAAAGAAGAGAGAGGGAAUUGGAGUUUCUUUUUCACCAGCUACUUCUUCUUCUUCUUCCGUUGCUAGGGCACAACAACAAGCAUCCCAAAUUUCGUGCUCCUUCCUCUUCUUCCUCUGAACCUCUCUUCCUUGCCGAUUCAAGCUCUCCCUCGCUGAUUUUCCUCUCCAAAAAUCGUUAGCAACAGUGGAGGGACGAAUGUUUUUGUUGGUUCUAUUACUCUUUUCUCUCUUUUUUUAGUUUUUUUUUGUAUAGAGAGGAGAAGACAACACCAUUUUCUCUCUUUCUCUCUCUAAAAAACCCACUUACACAACUCAUUCUCUUCACCCAUCCACCCAUUUUCUUCACCCAUCUACCCAUCACUUAAUAUUCACAACCGCGACCCCCACCCCUCGAACGUCAAAUGCCGGCUCUACCUCCACAAGUGUUCUUUUUCGCGCGCAAUCCACGUGCAUUAUCAUUGAUUGUUUAACGGGGCUGAUCAAUCUUUGUUGCCUUAUGGUGCAUGGUCUUGAAUAUAUUCUUUUUCAAGAAGUUGUUCAAGGGAAGGGUUGAGAAAGAGGUAUGAAGGUGGCUGGGACAUUUCCAAUCGAAAUUACUGGGCUUACUCCUUGGCACACAUUGUUUCCUUCUGCAGUUGAUCUCUUGCUUCAUCUCUUUAUUUAUCUUUCUUCAUAUGUUGUCUACAAUAGAAGAAGAAAUGGGAUUACUGUAAAUAAAACAUGGUUUGCUUCAACUAGUAAAGCCUUUAAACUUUCUUCAUAGCAAUGCACAUCUUAUUCAUCGUGCUAUACCUCCGGAGGCCAAAUUGAAGUGGGGAAAGCGUAAAAUCCCUGGGGAUCGAGUAAUUGAUUACUACGUGAAUGUGUUUCCGUAGCGCCACCUACAGUCGUCAGGGAUUCCGGGGCUGAAAGAGGCCGUGACUAGAGAUUUGAGAACCUGAGCCUAGGUGAGGACAUGGAUGGAGGAUUGUGACAUGGCUUCGGGCCUAGCUUAACCCAUGGUUGGGUGGCUCUAUGUGCAAAUAGGAGCGGUAUGUUGUUGCCGUGUUAGGUGCUAAGUAUGCAUGAGCUCCGUUUGGCCGUGUGUUUUUUUGUAGAUUGGAUCACGUGUGAGCUAUCCUUGGGCCGUAUGCUUAGUAUGCUAUCAUGGAUGAAUUGGAUUGGUUUGAUUGGAUUGGUUGGAUCGGAUUGGAUGGAGGUUGUUAUCGUGGCGGGUACUAAAUAUGCGUGAGCUAGUUUUGGCGGCAUGAUUUUUAGUCAUGUGCGAGCUAUCUUUGGCCGUAUAUUUAGAUGCCUUGCCAUGGUUGGUUUGGAUACAAGUUUGUUGGCCUUACUUAUGGUUUAUGGUAAUACAUGAUUCUAAUGUUUUAAUUAUCAUUUCGAUGUUGAUUUUAUAACUAAACCGUUAAAUGUAUGUUUUAUAAGUUUUUGAGAAAAAUAAACAAAAUUGCCACUCAUUGAGUUUCAACUCAUGUUUUCUCCCCUCUAGGUAACGGUUUAGGACCAAGCAUUGGUUGUGCUUUCCUGGCAGUGGUUGUAGUAUCUCAUUGUGUAGUAUAUACUUAUGCAUUCUAUUGUAUUAUUGGGUUAUUAGAAGAAAUGAGAGUCAUGAUGAGAAUUUGAGUCUGUGAGGUCUUUUAUUAAAUUGUAAUUCCUUUGUAACUAGUUCGUAGUUGAAUAUAAACUUUGUUUGGGACUCUGGAUUAUGUUGGAUGAGUGUGUGGUGAGACACACUCGAGGAUAAUUGAGUUUUGAAAAGUAUAGAAGUGUGUCUUUCUUCUAUUUUUCAGGUAUGGUUAGUUCGUUUUCAGGGGAGACUCUGCCAAAAUUUUUAUAGAAUUUCUUGGAAAAUGUUUUACUAAUCCUAUAUAUGAAAGGUUUGAGUUUAAGGAGUAGAUUCACACCACGAUCUAGGUUAGAGGGGAAAACUUAGACCGGGGUGUGACAUCAAGUCGCAACUUCGACCUAAGUAGGACGUCGCAGCUGGGAAAGCGUGACCUUGCGAUUAGGACUCGUUGAGCAAAUCUCCAGGCAGGGGCAAAGGUAAGAGCAAGGACAAGCUGGCGAGCGACCAGAAGUGACCGUUGCGAGCCAUAGGGAUCUCUUGCUUCCGCUUUAUGUCCGAGUUUAGACCUUGAGUGUUUGCCUUUUUAUUACUCUUUAUUUGUUAUUUCAUUUCUUUAAAAUUAGAUAGGGCCCGAGUUAGGAUUUUAAUAUUUUUUUACAUAUCACAUAUUAGUUUUGAUUAGGUUUUUUUUUUUUUAAAUAAUAAAUUUUUGAGGUUUCGUUUCGUUUUAUCCAGACUUUACAAACUUUAUUUA